ACACAUGCAAGUCGAACGGGGUUAUAUUGUAGCUUGCUAUGGUAUAACUUAGUGGCAGACGGGUGAGUAAUGUAUAGGAAUCUACCUAGUAGUACGGAAUGAUUGUUGGAAACGGCAACUAAUACCGUAUACGCCCUACGGGGGAAAGAUUUAUUGCUAUUAGAUGAGCCUAUAUUAGAUUAGCUAGUUGGUAAGGUAAUGGCUUACCAAGGCAAUGAUCUAUAGCUGAUCUGAGAGGAUGAUCAGCCACACUGGAACUGAGAUACGGUCCAGACUCCUACGGGAGGCAGCAGUGGGGAAUAUUGGACAAUGGGCGAAAGCCUGAUCCAGCCAUGCCGCAUGAGUGAAGAAGGCCUUUGGGUUGUAAAGCUCUUUCGGUGAGGAAGAUAAUGACGGUACUCACAGAAGAAGUCCUGGCUAACUCCGUGCCAGCAGCCGCGGUAAUUCA
rnacentral:rRNA from 1 species